CAGUCGCCGCGGUAAAACGAAGGGUGCAAGCGUUACUCGGAAUUACUGGGCGUAAAGCGUGCGUAGGUGGUGGUUUAAGUCCGUUGUGAAAGCCCUGGGCUCAACCUGGGAAUUGCAGUGGAUACUGGGUCACUAGAGUGUGGUAGAGGAUAGUGGAAUUUCCGGUGUAGCAGUGAAAUGCGUAGAGAUCGGAAGGAACAUCUGUGGCGAAGGCGACUAUCUGGGCCAACACUGACACUGAGGCACGAAAGCGUGGGGAGCAAACAGGAUUAGAACCCCGGUAGUCCCUGUCUCUAAUACC
rnacentral:rRNA from 1 species